ACAGAGGGGGCAAGCGUUAUUCGGAAUUAUUGGGCGUAAAGGGCGCGUAGGCGGUUUUUUAAGUCGGAUGUGCAAUCCCCAGGCUCAACCUGGGAACUGCAUCCGAGACUGGAAGGCUAGAGUACUGGAGAGGGUGGUGGAAUUCCUCGUGUAGCGGUGAAAUGCGUAGAGAUGAGGAGGAACACCAGUGGCGAAGGCGGCCACCUGGACAGUAACUGACGCUGAGGCGCGAAAGCGUGGGUAGCAAACAGGA
rnacentral:rRNA from 1 species